CGAUGAGUCCUAGAUACAGGGGAGAAGCCUCUGCGACUUCUCACUGACUGCAAAGCUAGCUGAUUGAUAGAACGUUGCAGCUCUUUUCCCUGCAUUAAACCAAUCACCUAAGCUGGCCUGCUGUUCAAUUACAGUCUUUGAUCAAGUCUGCCUGCCCAGCUCCAUUCAUGCCCCAUUGAAGUCAGCUCACCACCAGGGUGAAAAAGGCUCCAUCACCAUUUGUAUUCUCAAUGACAACAGAGCCAGCGUAUCAAUACAAAAGACAAAGCUGAGAUAUUUGCAAGCAUCAUCAUUCAGAUGUGCCAAGUGCUAAAUGUAUAAUCCAAGAUAGUUGCUUCCUGAGAUUCCCAGCUUACCAAAUGUCGGUCAUCAGCCUAUUUAGUACAUUCCAUGUGAUACCAAGAAACAACUGAGUGUACAGUAUGCAGCAAUAGCAGGUCAAGUCUGGAUAAUCGCAAACCCAUCAAUCUAUUCUCAAUCAUCACCAUUUAUUCACCAGUAUCCUACUCAUUGAUGCUCAGUUUGAAUCCUGUUAAGUCCACUGUUCUCUAAAUCUUAUUGCAGCCUUUGCUCAAAACAUGGAUAUCAGGGCUGAAUUCUAAAGAUGAUGUGACAGCAACUGUCCUUGACAUCAAAGUAGCAUUUGACUGAAUGUGGUAUCAAGGACCCUGAACGAAACUGAAGUCAAUAAGAAUCAGGUGAAAAACUCUCCAUUGCCUCAAGUCAUAUGUAACACAAAACCUAGAUGGCAUUCAUGUGACAAGCAAACUCUGUAUUAAACAUAUGCUAGGCAAAUACUAUCUCCAACAAGUGGGAUUCAAACCACCUCAUCUUGACAUUGAACAACAUUAACAUUAAUUAAUCUUUUCAUCAUCAACAUCCUGUGGUUUAGCAUUAACCAGAAAUUUAACUGAAUCAAUCAUAUAAAUAAUGUAGCUACAUGAGCAGGUCACAGACUGCAUUCUAAUGGCAAGUAAUUCAUUUCCUUAAGUCCCCAGAGUUUGUCUGCCAUCCUUAAGGCACAAAUCAGUAGUGUGAUGGUUUGCUCCCCACUUGAUUGGAUGUGUGUGUUCCUCUAGCUCCUCUCAAAAAAAUUUGAUUGCCACCUCUUCAACUACUUUACGUCUUCACUCCAUCUACCACUGUCUACUAGAUGUACUGCUCCUUCUAGGACAGUUCUAUUAAGGCUCCUUCGCCAAUGUCUUCCAAAACUGUAAUUUCCAUUACCUGGAAUGACAAAGACAGUGGACACAUGGGAACAACAUUACCUACAGGCUUCCUUUCAAGACAACACCGCCUGGAAUUACAAAUAUUUUGACAUUCCUUUACUAUCUAUUGACCAAAGUCCUGGAACAUUCUCCCCAACAGCAUCACGGGUCUACCUACAUGAGUUGACUGGAAUGAUUUGAGAAGGUGGCUAACUACCACUUACUUCAGGGAAUAGUGAUGAGCAAUAAAUGUUGACCUUGAUAGUGAUGCCCGCAUUCCAUGAACAUUUUCUUUUUAAAACUUGCUGCAGUUCGAAGGAGGAAGAUUCCAGAUGAGUCAGUGAACGUGCAUGAAGAGAUCAAAACCAGAAAUGUCAAAGAAUGACUGCUUUGUAGUUGUCAAAUAAUUUGCCUAAUCAGAAAGUUGUUUUUAAAUUAACAAUUGCUGAGUGACCUAUUCUACAUGGUGAGAAUUUUAUCGAGCACAUACUUUCAUUUCCAAGUUAAUUCUGAACUGUUAUGCUUUGUUAAACUAAAAACAGUCAUAAUGUAGUCAGAAGCAAAACUAUUAUUUUCUUCACUUUGAUUAAGUUAGAAAUCACCUUUACCUUAAUUUUGUGUUUUAAUUAUCAGCUGCAUUUAAUAUUGUGUCUUAACCUUUAAUAUUUUUGAAAACCAUGUUUAAUGCGCAAUUACAAUUCACUAGAGUGACUCAGGCAUAUCAAAUUGAAUGUUACACAAAGAAGGUGUUCAUACAAAUCUCAGUUCACAGUUCCAUAUAACAAAGUGUUUUAAAGUGGCACAUGCUGAAAUAGAAGAGUACCAAUUUCAUGUGAAAUGGAAAGUAGAGAUCUGUGUGUCUAGGCAAGUCAGUUGACUCACAGUGAUUAAAAUCAUUUUUCAGAUA